rnacentral:tRNA from 1 species
GGGAGAAUAGCUCAAUGGUUAGAGCAUUAGUUUUCAAAACUAGUGGUUGUGGGUUCGAGUCCUUCUUCUCCUG